AGAGUUUGAUCCUGGCUCAGGACGAACGCUGGCGGUGUGCUUCACACAUGCAAGUCGAGCGAAUGAAGUAGGUAGCUUGCUACUUAUGGAUUUAGCGGCGGACGGGUGAGUAAUAUAUAGGAAUCUGCCUUAGAGCGGGGAACAACAGACCGAAAGGUUUGCUAAUGCCCCAUAGGUAUGCAGUCUUCGGAUUGUAUAUUAAAGGAGUAAUCCACUCUAAGAUGAGCCUGUAUCCGAUUAGCUAGUUGGCGGGGUAAAGGCCCACCAAGGCUACGAUCGGUAGUUGGUCUGAGAGGAUGAUCAGCCACAAUGGGACUGAGACACGGCCCAUACUCCUACGGGAGGCAGCAGUGGGGAAUUUUACACAAUGGGGGAAACCCUGAUGUAGCGACACCGCGUGAACGAAGAAGCCUUUUGGGGUGUAAAGUUCUGUCGGCUGGAACGAAAAAAAUGACGGUACCAGCAAAGGAAGCAUCGGCUAACUACGUGCCAGCAGCCGCGGUAAGACGUAGGAUGCAAGCGUUGUCCGGAUUUAUUGGGCGUAAAGAGUUCGUAGGCGGUUAUUUAAGUCUGAUGUUAAAUACUGUGGCCCAACCACAGAACUGCAUUGGAUACUGGAUGACUUGAGUGCGGGUAGAGGGCAAGUGGAAUUCCCAGUGUAGCGGUGAAAUGCGUAGA
rnacentral:rRNA from 1 species